UCUACCUGUCCCUCUCUCCGCCUGUCCCUCUGUCUGCCUGUCCCUCUGUCCACAGCUGGAGCGUCAGCAGGAGCAGCAGCAGGAGGAGAACCUCAGAGCUCCAGAGUUUGUUAAAGUCAGAGAAAAUCUGAGACGGACGUCCUUCCAUGCAGACGAGGAGGUGGCGUAGAGACGGAGACGCAAAGUGUCCAGAUGGCAACAGGAGGACAGGAUGCGUCCAUAGCAGGACUCUGCGAGGUCGGGGACAUGGCGGCCAUGAUGUUUCCCAGCAGAUGUUAAACCUGUCAGAUCCCUGAUCUGAUGAUUGUUAGACAGCUGCUGCCCCCUGGUGGUCAGCUUGUAGACAGCUGCACCUGGAUGAGCAGGAACCGUUCCUCUGGGUCCUCCUGCUGCAGAAACACCUUUUAUGUAGGUUUAUUAAAACCAGAGCCGUUUUAUAGACGUAACCAUGUUAGAUCUGUGUUGUAGAGUUCAGCUCGGUGAGUUCAAGCUAACUCCUGUAGGACGUCUAACAGCUGCUAACAUCUGUCCCGCCCAGCUGUCCCUCUGCUGGGACCUGACGAUGCAAAGCAGCUGCAGUCACGAACCGACAGAGGAACCGCUGAGGCCGUGGAGACACGAGACCACUUCCUGUCAGAGCAAGAACAGCUGCAGAGAUUUCACAGCACUUCAUGCUCAGACGAUGGACAGUAGGGUUUGUUGACUGAUGUUGUGCCUGAAUAAAUCUUUAUUAAAGCAGCUCA